CAAAUUCCUUGUAUGUGUAAACCUGCUUGACAAUAAAACCCAAUUCUGAUUCUGAUAAGACACCCUGAUCCACAGUCCAUACCAGCUGGUGGCGGUAAUACACCAAAUCGUUGUUUGCCAACCGCCAAUGAAACCCAGAAGCAGAAGAAGAAGAAUCAGAAGCAGAAUCAGAAGAAGAAGAAGAAGAAGAAGACCACCAAAGUGAACAUGGGGCUGAACGGGCUGAAGUCAACUCCUGAGUCCGAGGAGGACGUGAGGAUGUUUAGACCAGGAGUUCAUGCGUCUCUACCCAAACACUCGUACUGGUUUGACUUCUGGGUGUUCGUGCUCUUCGACAUCGCCUUCUUCCUCGUCAUGUAUUUCAUUGUCCCGUAACCAGGUUUGUCUUCUGGACUGUGGAGCCUGAAGACACGGAGUGCUGGUCCCGCCCUGUCCUGAGAAACGCUAACCGAGCUUUGACUGACUUUUCCUGCUGCGUUAUGUGACACAACACAUCGAGGUUCCACGCCUCGCACCAUGUGCCUGAAGGUUUUAUACACGCAGCCUCCUGCUUUCAUUUCAGAGAUUUGAACCAUACGACUCCCUCCUCCUGUGACCUGUUGCCAGCUGCUGUUACUUCAUGGGUGGAUUUAUUUUGUUGCCACGUGAAAAAUAAACAAUUUAAUUAUUUAUAUUAUUGAAAAGUGGACUUGGAAAAUUAACAUGUAAUAUCACUAAAAUUCUAUUUUAUGUAUUAUCACUUAUAUAGAAUUAUCCUAGUGGAGUGAAGCUGUGCAAUGUUUUUGAUGAAGUUGACACUGAAAACCGAAUGAAUGGGGACACAAAGUGAUUGUAUCAUAUUUUACGUGUUUUAGACAAAUGUCUCCAAAUAAUCUGAUCAACACCCGAGUCAUGGAAAGAAAAGAACAAUCUCAAAUCUUAAAGGUUUGAGGAGAUCAAGAUGAUCCAGUGUGGGGUCACUUAGGAGAAAUUACAAUAUCGGUGAACUGAAAUGUUGACAGUUUGCACAGUGAACAUACUGCAAAUAAAGUGUUUAUACCAACCA